GAUGAAGAACGUAGCGAAAUGCGAUACGUAAUGUGAAUUGCAGAAUUCAGUGAAUCAUCGAAUCUUUGUACGCACAUUGCGCCUGCCAGCACUCUGGCAGGCAUGCCUGUUCGAGCGUCAUUUCAACCAUCAAGCCCUAGGCUUGCGUUGGAGCCCUGCGGCUGCCGCAGGCCCCUAAAAGCAGUGGCGGGCUCGCUAUCACACCGAGUGCAGUAGAUUACUCUUCGCUCAGGGCGUGUGGCGGGUUCCAGCCGUGAAACCCCCUACUUCUCAAGGUUGACCUCGGAUCAGGUAGGAAUACCCGCUGAACUUAAGCAUAUCAAUAAGCGGAGGA
rnacentral:misc_RNA from 1 species